rnacentral:rRNA from 1 species
UACGUAGGGUGCGAGCGUUGCCCGGAUUUAUUGGGCGUAAAGGGCGCGUAGGCGGCCACGCACGUCCGUUGUGAAAUCGCCCGGCUCAACUGGGCGGGGUCAGCGGAUACGGUGUGGCUCGAGCAAGCUAGGGGGCAAUGGAAUUCCCGGUGUAGUGGUGGAAUGCGUAGAUAUCGGGAGGAACACCAGUGGCGAAGGCGGUUGCCUGGAGCUUUGCUGACACUGAGGCACGAAAGCUGGGGGAGCAAACAGG